GAUGAAGAACGUAGUGAAAUGCGAUAAGUAAUGUGAAUUGCAGAAUUCAGUGAAUCAUCGAAUCUUUGAACGCACAUUGCGCCCCUUGGUAUUCCGAGGGGCAUGCCUGUUCGAGCGUCAUUACACCACUCAAGCACUGCUUGGUAUUGGGCAUCGUCCGUCGAAAGGCGGGCGUGCCUCGAAGACCUCGGCGGGGUUUCUCCAACUUCGGGCGUAGUAGAGUUAAAUCGAACGUCUUAUAAGCUUGGUGGGACUCCAUUGCCGUUAAACCUUUUAUUUUCUAGGUUGACCUCGGAUCAGGUAGGGAUACCCGCUGAACUUAAGCAUAUCAAUAAGCGGAGGA
rnacentral:misc_RNA from 1 species